AAUAUACACUGUCUCAUAUAUAUUUCAUGAACUUAAAAUUUUAAUUAAAAUGUUAAAAUUUUUUUAUGGGACGAUAAGACCCUAUAGAAUUUUAUAUGGUUACAUCUUAAUAGUUAAUAUAAAAAAUGUAGCAAUAUUUGGUUGGGAGGACUAUUAAAUUUUAUAAACUUUAAUUUCUGAUAACUUUAAUUAAAGAAAAACUUUUUAAUGACCCUCAAUUUGGGAUAGCUAGAAUAAAUUACCUUAGGGAUAACAGCGUAAUAUUUUUUUAUAGAUCGUAUAGAAAAAAGUGAUUGCGACCUCGAUGUUGAAUUAAGAUAAAUUUUAAACGCAGGAGUUUAAUAAUUAAGUCUGUUCG
rnacentral:rRNA from 1 species